UUUGUUAUCAGUUUUAUCUAAUGUUUCUAAUCCUUGAGGGUGGCAGAGCCCUGGAAGAGGCUGCCCAGGGAGGUGGUGGAGUCUCCUUCUCUGGAGACAUUCAAACCCCACCUGGACACGUUCCUGUGGGACCUGCUCUGGGUGGACCUGCUUUGGCAGGGGGUUGGACUAGAUGAUCUCCAGAGGUCCCUUCCAACCCCAUAGCAUUCUGUGAUUCUAGCAAGGCAACUGUGAAUAACUUUUUGAUUUUUUGAGAUGCAGUCCAUGUUCUUCCCUACCGAUUUCUCACAGCUCUGUCCCCAUGUGAAAGUGUAUAUUUUUCUAUCCAUUCAUUUUAAAUUGUGUCUUUUUAACAGUAAUGGCAAAGUAUAAGAAAUGCCGGCGGAAAAAGGGAGCCAGAGCAAAAUUUCUAUGGGGAAAAAAAGGAGAUGCUGCAAAUCCAAACCCCCAGGGUUCUGGUUGUCAUACUCCACGGUAAGAGACUCAGCUGGACAUUUUCCCUUUAGCUCAGUUUCUGGGUCCGCUGCUUGCUAAUGGAACUGAGGAAACAGAAUUGCAUUUGGAGUUUCUACAUCCUGGUAUGGAUGCUGCAGAAUUGUUUAAUCUUGUGUAUCUUUUAGUACUCUAUCUAUUGUUAACUUUAACGUGCAGGAAAAGCAAUUUGGAUAAAAACAUAUUGCAAAUAUUAUUUCCUCCCCUCCUUUAUUGAAAUGUAUCUUAGUCUUUCCUAGUCUCUGUGCUCAUGUUUACCCUGUUGUCACCUGCUCUUGCUGGUACUUGUCAUUUCCAGAUGAUUGGUCACAGUUAACCUUUUUGAAGGCUGAAAUUAUAGAUAUAAUUUUGACUGCAUUCUGUGAUGUUCUGUCCCAGGUCAGCAGUUGAUCCUCCUCCGAACGCGUCACCUGCCCCAAGCCAUCUGUCCUCACUCUGGUCAUUAGCCUUGCCCAGCGUAAAAAAUGUGGUAAAACCCUUUACAACAACAGCAUCAUUUUUGUAUUGUUGGUGCCAGAACACGGUUGCACAGAGUUUUAAGGCGGUUAAAGACACCAUAUUUCCAUCACAAAUAUAUUUAAGGGAGUUAAAUACGUUCAGAGAGCAGCUGGAAAAGUUGGAAGCUGAGUUUUCCAGACUACAAGGAACGCUCCAGGUGAGUUUCAGUCCCAGUGGGGCAGGGUAACGUUUGCUUGUGGGAGCGCGUAAGGAACUGUGGUCAGUGCAGAUAAACUGAAAUCUGAAGAGCUUCU
rnacentral:lncRNA from 1 species